GAUGAACGCUGGCGGCGUGCCUAAUGCAUGCAAGUCGAGCGAAUGGAUUAAGAGCUUGCUCUUAUGAAGUUAGCGGCGGACGGGUGAGUAACACGUGGGUAACCUGCCCAUAAGACUGGGAUAACUCCGGGAAACCGGGGCUAAUACCGGAUAACAUUUUGAACCGCAUGGUUCGAAAUUGAAAGGCGGCUUCGGCUGUCACUUAUGGAUGGACCCGCGUCGCAUUAGCUAGUUGGUGAGGUAACGGCUCACCAAGGCAACGAUGCGUAGCCGACCUGAGAGUGUGAGCGGCCACACUGGGACUGAGACACGGCCCAGACUCCUACGGGAGGCAGCAGUAGGGAAUCUUCCGCAAUGGACGAAAGUCUGACGGAGCAACGCCGCGUGAGUGAUGAAGGCUUUCGGGUCGUAAAACUCUGUUGUUAGGGAAGAACAAGUGCUAGUUGAAUAAGCUGGCACCUUGACGGUACCUAACCAGAAAGCCACGGCUAACUACGUGCCAGCCGCCGCAGUAA
rnacentral:rRNA from 1 species